AGAGCUAUUGGGGCUCGGUGGCGGCCGCAGUGGGGUGGAGGGGGCAGGGCGUGGUGAGGUAAGGUGAGUGCCGUAGUGGGGUUCCCUGGAGCCAUGGCCUGCUCCAUUGUCCAGUUCUGCUACUUCCAGGAUCUCCAGGCCGCCCGGGACUUCCUCUUUCCUCACCUGCGGGAGGAGAUCCUCAGCGGCGCCUUGCGGAGGGACCCCAAAAAUUUAGAAGAUAUCAAAUCGAACCCGUCUGUGAAUGAUUGCAUACCUUGUGCCAGUCAUUGGUGCUACAAACCAAAUAAGUGUCUGGAAGUGUGAAAACAGUGAACGUUCCCUUCCAUUUAGCACUGAGUGAUAAGAAGAGUGAACGAGCCAAGGAUAUGCACCUAGUGAAGAAACUAGCAGCCUUACUGAAAACAAAAUCUCCCAAUCUUGAUUUGGUUGAAACAGAAAUAAAGGAAUUAAUUCUUGAUAUUAAAUACCCUGCAACCAAAAAACAAGCUUUGGAAAGCAUUUUGGCAAGUGAACGUUUACCAUUUUCUUGCCUUAGAAACAUCACUCAGACUUUAAUGGACACUUUAAAAAGU
rnacentral:sRNA from 1 species